UACAUGGGGUGCAAACGUUGCUCGGAAUUAUUGGGCGUAAAGCGCACGUAGGUGGUCGCUUAAGUCGGAUGUGAAAGCCCUCGGCUCAACUGAGGAAGUGCAUCCGAAACUGAGUAACUAGAGUAUAAAAGAGGGUCACGGAAUUCCCAGUGUAGAAGUGAAAUUCGUAGAUAUCGGAAGGAACACCGGUGGCGAAGGCGGCGACCUGGGCCAAUACUGACACUGAGGUGCGAAAGCGUGGGGAGCAAACAGG
rnacentral:rRNA from 1 species